GCUCAAUUGGUAGAGCAACUGACUUGUAAUCAGUAGGUUGGGGGUUCAAGUCCUCUCAUCA
rnacentral:tRNA from 1 species